UACGAGUGGAAAACACAAGCU
rnacentral:piRNA from 1 species